GAGGAAUGUAUAGCAAUAGCUACUUGCAUCAUAGUUAAUAUGAUGCAAGCUCGACUAAGUUGAAUAAAAUUCUAGGUAGAAUUAUGAUAAUGACAUUGUCUGCCUAUGUGUCUUGACCAAAUUACGUGCCAGCAGUCGCGGUAAUACGUAGAAGACUAGUGUUAUUCAUGUUUAAUCGGUUUAAAGGGUACCUAGACGGUGAAUCAAGCUUUGGUGUAAAUAAUAAAAACCAUAUUGUAUAAGAUCUUAUUUGAGAUACAUAUUUACAUAUGAUAAGGACUAAUUUACUAGAGUUACUUACGAGGGGGUAUUAAAGUACUGCUGGUGUAGAGAUGAAAUUCUGUCAUACCUCUUUUCGAAAGAAAAAUCAUGGCACAGGUAUAGGCGAAGGCAUCCCCUUAUGGGCUAACUGACGUUGAAGGACGAAGGCUUCAUGUAACAAACAGGAUUAGAUACCCUAGUAGUUGAAAGCAGAAAAUGAUGAAUGUCAUAGAUUAGAUAUAUAAGUUUAUUCUAUAAAUGAAAGUGUAAGCAUUCCACCUCAUGAGUAAUUUGGCAACAUUGGAAUUGAAAUCAUUAGACCGUUUCUGAAACCAGUAGUGAAGUAUGUUGUUUAAUUUGAUACUCCGCAAAAAACCUUACCACAAUUUGAAUAUUUAUAUCUUUUAUUGUUUUCAUCUUAAUUUUAUUAUGAUUUUAUUUUUAUUUUCUAAAAAAAGAAAAAAUUAAGAAUAAGGCAAUAAGAUACAUUUACAAGCGUUGCACGGCUGUCUUCAGUUAAUGUCGUGAGACUUUGGUUAGUUCCAUUAAAUUAACGUAAACCCUUACUUUAUUUUUUAUAUAGAGUAGUUCCCCACUAUAUUGGAUAUGAU
rnacentral:rRNA from 1 species